rnacentral:tRNA from 1 species
AGGCAGCCGCCGGAGGACGGGCUUUGUUGAUGUCGAAGAUUACAUAGAGUUUUCUAUGCUGCUAU